rnacentral:rRNA from 1 species
UACGAAGGGGGCUAGCGUUGCUCGGAAUCACUGGGCGUAAAGGGUGCGUAGGCGGGUCUUUAAGUCAGGGGUGAAAUCCUGGAGCUCAACUCCAGAACUGCCUUUGAUACUGAGGAUCUUGAGUUCGGGAGAGGUGAGUGGAACUGCGAGUGUAGAGGUGAAAUUCGUAGAUAUUCGCAAGAACACCAGUGGCGAAGGCGGCUCACUGGGUCUCUUCUGACGCUGAGGAACGAAAGCUAGGGGAGCAAACGGG